UGUGGGAGCGAGCCUGCUCGCGAUAGCGUCGGCACAUCCAGCCUCUAUUCAAGCUGACUCACCGCUAUCGCGAGCAGGCUCGCUCCCACA
rnacentral:misc_RNA from 1 species